rnacentral:lncRNA from 1 species
AUAAAUUCUAUUUCCUGUUCUCUUGAAUAUGAGUUAUUCUUGUGACUUGUUUUUAUAUUAAAUGUGGUGCAAAUGACAUACUUGGGGUUCUUGAGCCCAGAAUGUAGUGGAUUCUGCUUCUCCCUUUUGAGUUCAGUCUCCCUUAUGUAAGGAAAACCAGGCUAGACAUUGAAUGAUUAGAAGCCAUAUAUGUGGGAUCCUGGAAGAUGAAGGCCAUCUUGCAUAUUUUCACCCCAGCUGAGUUGCCAGCUGAAUGGAGCUGCAUAAGGGACUGGCCUCCAGCAAAAUCUACAGAAGAAUUACCCAGCUGAACCUAAGUGAAUCCACAAAAAUCUGAAAAAAUAAUAAACCAUUAUAUUAAAGCACCAAGUUAGUAGAUGAUUGUUACACAAUUGACAACUAAUGCAGAUAUUGAAACCUAUAGUUAAUGUGCUAAUAUAACUAAAACCUAAAACAUCUUUGUAUGGCUUAGAGGAGAGUUAUUCCUGCUGGAAGUAUGAAUUAUAAAAUGCUUCUCCGCUUGGCAAAAAAGCAGACCUUGCUCUGAGCUGAUGCAACCUCAUGCAAAUGCACAAAUUACAAGAAGCUUGCAAUCCCUGUUUCAGUACAAGCAACUCUUCCUGUCUUCUUAUCCAGAGUCACAAGAGGAUGGGAGAGGAGCAGUCUGCAAGCAGCCGUAGGAGCAAGACCUUGAGACGUGUCCAUCAAUGCUACACAGAGUCUCGCUCUGUUGCCAGGCUGGAAUGUAAUGGCACAAUCUCGGCUCACUUCAACCUCUGCCUCCCGAAUUCAAGCAAUUCUCCUGCCUCAGCUUCCCUGAGUAUCUGAGACUACAGAUGCCCACCACCAUGCCUGGCUAAUUUUUGUAUUUUUAGAAGAGACAGGGUUUCAUCAUGUUGGCCAGGCUGGUCUCGAACUCCUGACCUCAGGUAAUCCACCGGACUCGGCCUCCCAAAAUGCUGGGAUUACAAGUGUGAGCCACCACGCCCAGCCAGAUCUCUUCUUUAAUAGAGAAUAAAAACAGAAAAGCACAAUCUAAAACCACACCAGGACAAUUGUUUGCAGGGUUUCACAUUUCAAAUAUAUCUGCAGCUUGCCUUUGACUUAAUAGUUACUGGUAAUUAUUUGUAAUCAUAAAAAUGAAACCAUUAUAUCUACUGUUUCCCAUUGAAAUAUUCAUUUUUUUUCACAUUCUCAGUUUUCUCAUACGUAACUAGCAAUUAUUGUAUAAGAACAAUAUCCACUUAUGUUGUUUACAGUAAUUGUGGUUUGGGCUCUGGGCAUCACAGCAGGAUACAAAUUACCUCAAGAACAAACAAAUGCAAACACCAUGGUUUAUUAUCUUCCGUAGCUCAAGUUCUUGUCUAUCUUUCUUCAAAUAUAACAUAUUAAUGAUCUUAAAAAUCUUGUAUAGUAUAUAUCGCGUAAUAAUUUUCUCCUGGACUGUUGUCCAUUUCUGGAACAGAAAGGAGACUUUCAUGUCAUUUUUUUGUGUGCGUGCCGAAAGCAUAUUUAAAAAUAGAAAGCCUUAUCAGUAGAGUGGCCCAACAUCUAUCAGUUAGUAAGCAAGUUUCAGUAAUUUAAAG